rnacentral:rRNA from 1 species
CCUACGGGAGGCUGCAGUGAGGAAUAUUGGUCAAUGGGCGAGAGCCUGAACCAGCCAAGUCGCGUGAGGGAAGACGGUCCUAUGGAUUGUAAACUUCUUUUAUAUGGGAAUAAAAUGUUCCACGUGUGGGAUUUUGUAUGUACCAUAUGAAUAAGGAUCGGCUAACUCCGUGCCAGCAGCCGCGGUAAUACGGAGGAUCCGAGCGUUAUCCGGAUUUAUUGGGUUUAAAGGGAGCGUAGGUGGAUUGUUAAGUCAGUUGUGAAAGUUUGCGGCUCAACCGUAAAAUUGCAGUUGAAACUGGCAGUCUUGAGUACAGUAGAGGUGGGCGGAAUUCGUGGUGUAGCGGUGAAAUGCUUAGAUAUCACGAAGAACUCCGAUUGCGAAGGCAGCUCACUGGACUGCAACUGACACUGAGGCUCGAAAGUGUGGGUAUCAAACAGGAUUAGAUACCCGGGUAGUC